UACGUAGGGUGCAAGCGUUAAUCGGAAUUACUGGGCGUAAAGCGUGCGCAGGCGGCUUUGCAAGACAUAUGUGAAAUCCCCGGGCUCAACCUGGGAACUGCAUUUGUGACUGCAAGGCUGGAGUACGGCAGAGGGGGAUGGAAUUCCGCGUGUAGCAGUGAAAUGCGUAGAUAUGCGGAGGAACACCGAUGGCGAAGGCAAUCCCCUGGACCUGUACUGACGCUCAUGCACGAAAGCGUGGGGAGCAAACAGG
rnacentral:rRNA from 1 species